CACUUCCUAUUGUCUGUGUAUCAAGAGGUGGGACUCUCAGCUCCUUCUCCAGCACCGAGUGUGCUUGCGUGCUGACGCGCUACCCGCCAUGAUGGCCAUGGACUGAAUCUAUGAACUGGAUGGUGACGGCAUAAGCGUUCCAUUUCGUAGAGGCAGAUUCGAGGAAAAUGAAGCAGCUUGCAGAAGCCAGGAUCUGCGUUUCAGAGUCAAGGGAAACAGGACUCCUUAUGUCUAUAGUCUGUUUCUGGCUAUGAUGGCAUUACUAGUACAAAGCUAGCUUCAUGUGACAACCACGGACUGGACAGAAUACACACAGUGAUGUUUUUCAGGAUUUUGAUAAGAAGCUUUGUAGGCCAGCGACCCUGGAAAGAAGGAGAACACAUGGGGGGGGGAGGCCCGUGGCCGGCCUGCAUGUCAUCCCGUGUGACACUUACUACACAAGAGUUUUGCUUUGUGAAGAGUUCCAGACCCAGGUGCAAAUCUCAGCGCUUGGGAGACUGAAGUGUGAGGAUCGCCGAGAGUUUGAGGCCACCCUGGUCUGCACAGCAACUUCCAGCACAACCAGAGCUCAUAGUGGGACGCUGUCUUCAAAAACCAAAACGCCUAAACCAAACCAAGCCAACCAACAGUGGAAGUAAUUGUGAUGCAUUCGAAAAUGAACCAAUUCAUCCAAUGAAGACAACAAAUCCAAAUUUUUAAAAAUAAUUUAUUCAUAGUGUCCAAUGUCACAAAAAACUAUUACGCACUUUAGAAAAGUAAAAUAAUAUGGUACAGAAUCACACAAAAAUUUAGUAGAAGACAGUGCCCGAAUAGCCUGUUUGUUGAGUUUAGCAAAGACUUUACAUGACUAUCACAGAUCCUUGGAAAGGCUGAAAUAAAGAUAUGGUGUGUGUGUGCGUGUGUGUGUGUGUGUGUGUGUGUGUGUUGUUGGACUGCAAGCUCAGGU